GAUUUUUGCACAUCAAUUUUAUAUCCUAAGACUUUGCUGAAGUUCCUUAUCAGCUUAAGAAGAUUUUGGGCUGAGGUGAUGGGGUAUUCUAGAUAUAGAAUCAUGUCAUCUGCAAACAAAGAUAAUUUGACUUCCUCUCUUUUUAUUUGAUACACUUUAUUUCUUUCUCUUGCCUGAUUGUCCUGGCCAGAACUUCCAAUACUAUGUUGAAUGGGAAUGGUGAGAGAGGGCAUCCUUGUCUUGUGCUGGUUUUCAAGGGGAAUGAUUCCAGCUUUUGCCCAUUCAGUAUGAUAUUGGCUAUGAGUUUGUCAUGUAUGGCUCUUAUUCAUUUGAGGUAUGUUCCUUCAACACUUAGUUGAUUGAGAGUUUUUAACAUGAAGGGAUGUUGAGUUUUAUCGAAAGCCUUUUCUGUAUCUAUUGAGAUAAUCAUGUAUUUUUUAUCUUUAGGACUGUUUAUGUGAUGAAUUACUUUUAUUGAUUUGUGUAUGUUGAACCAAGCCUUCAUCCUGGGGAUGAAGCCAACUUGAUUGUGGUGGAUAAGCUUCUUGAUGUGCUGCUGGAUUUGGUUUGCCAGUAUUUUAUUGAGGAUUUUUGCAUUGAUGUUCAUCAAGGAUAUUGGCCUGAAGCUUUCUUCUUUUGUUGUAUCUCUGCCGGGUUUUGGUAUCAGGAUGAUACUGGCCUUAUAGAAUGAGUUAGGGAGGAGUCCCUCCUUUUCAAUUAUUUGGAAUAGCUUCAGUAGAAAUGGUACCAGCUCUUCUUUGUACCCCUGGUAUAACUCAGCUGUGACUCCAUCUGGUCCUGGGAUUUUUUUGGUUGGUAGGCUGUUUAUUACACCUCAAUUUCAGACUUGUUAUUGGUCUAUUCGGAUUCAAUUUCUUAUUGGUUCAGUCUUGGGAGGAUGUAUGUGUCCAGGAAUUUAUCCAUUUCUUCUAGAUUUUGUAGUUUAUGUGCAUUGAGGUGUUUAUAGUAUUCUCGGCUGGUUGUUUAUAUUUCUGUAAGGCCAGUGGUGAUAUUCCUCUUAUCAUUUCUAAUAGUAUUUAUUUGAUUCUUCUUUUCUUCUUUAUUAGUCUAGCUAGCAAUCUAUUUUAUUAAUUUUUUUUAAAUCCAUCUCCUGGAUUUGUUGAUUUUUUUUGAAGGGCUUUUCAUGUCUCUAUCUCCUUCAGUUCCUCUCUGAACUUGGUUAUUUCUUGUCUUCUGCUAGCUUUGGGUUUUUUUCUUUUUCCCCUUGGUUCUCUAGUUCUUUUAGUUGUGAUGUUAGGUUGUUAACCUGAGAUCUUUCUAGCUUUUUGAUAUGGGCAUUUAGUGCUGUAAAUUUCCCUCUUAACACAGCUUUAGCCGUGUCCCAAAGAUUCUGUUUUGUUGUCUCUUUAUUCUCAUUAGUUUCAAAGAACUUCUUGAUUUCUGCCUUAAUUUCAUUAUUUACCCAGGAGUCAUUCAGGAGCAGGUUGUUCAAUUUCCAUGUAGUUGUGUGGUUUGCCCCUCUUAAAGAAACAUUCUGGCUGCUUUUUGGUAGAGCAGGUGUGCUGUGUUGAGGGGGACCCUUCCUCAUCGGGACUGUUUAGAUUCUCCCAAAGCUGGCAGGCUGGAAUGGCUGAGUCCACCAAACCACAGAGAUGGUGGCCACCCGUCUCCUAGGGACUUCCAUCCCAGGGAGAGAUCAGAGCUGUGUGCAUAUAACCCUGGUUGGAGUGGCUGAAGCCCCUGCAGGGAGAUUCUGCCCAGUGAAGAAGAGUGGAUCGGUGUCCCUCUUAAAGAAGCAGUCUGGCCACAAUCUGGCAACGCAGCUGUGCUGUGCUGUGCUGUGGGGACCCUUCCUUGUCAGGACCGUUUGGAUUCUCCAAGCCAGCGGGCUAGAAUGGCUGAGUCAACCAAACCCCAGAGAUGGCGGCCACCCCUCCCUGGGGGAACUCAGUCCCCUCCCAGGUAGACUCCAGCCUGUUGCUGUUGGCUGGCUGGAAUUCCAAGCCAGUGGGUCUUAACUUGUGAGGUGCCAUGGAAUUAGGGCCCACAGAAUGACACUGCUUGGCUCCCGGUAUUCAGCCCCAUUCCUGGAGGUAUGUAUGGACGGAUCUGCCGCCUCGCCAGGGAUCCUAGGGCUGAGGUAUGUAAGACUCCUUGGUUUCUAGGUGUGCCUGAACAGUCUCAGCUCUGCUGAGACUCCACCAGCUCUGUGUAUUGGACCCAAGGCCCUGGUGGUGUGGGCUCACGAAGGGAUCUCCUGAUCUGCAGGUUGCAAAGAUCUGUAGGAGAAGCAUGGUUUCCCGGAGGGGUUGCACAAUCACUCACCACUUCCCCUGGCUGGGGAUGGAGGUUCCUUUGGCUUCGUGCGCUCCCAGGUGUGCCAUCCCACCACCCUGCUUUUCUUUGUUCUCCAUGGGUCGAGUUGUUUGCCUCGUCAGUUCAGUGCGAGAACCUGGAUGUUUCAGUUGAAGGUGCUGAAUUCACUUGUCUCUUUCAUUUCUCUCCUUGAGUGCUACAGACCCAGCUGCUUCUAAUCAGCCAUUUUGGCCCCACUGUAGUGAAUUUUCUAUUGCUCUGUUGGGGCUUGAACUAGGAGUUCAAGUAUUUGAUAAGUAGCUUGAGUCAGGCAUUGCUAAUUCCUAGAGAAACAUCACUGAGCGUAAUGGAAACCUGGGGGCUCAGAGAAGAGGCUAGUGAGAGGAUGCCAUAGUUAAAUAGUAGGAUCAACAAAGAAGGGAAAUUCCUCCAGUUGUGGAGGGAGGGCAUGGGACAAUGAUCUGCAGGUGGCUGUAAGGUAUUUGCUGACCUGUGCCUAGGGCGUGAUGAUGGGGUACAGGAUGAGAGAAAUGGAGAGAAUGGUACCACUAGAGAGAUUCUGCACUGUCAUGGAGGAUAAAAAUAAAAACAAAUGUUAGUGGACGAUAUACACAAAGAAAAGUCUGAUAACCAGAGAGCUGGAUCAAUGCAUGAACUUGCCAUUCCUGGAAGGUUGUCUCCCAAAGCAGAGAAUAUAGCACAUUCAUUGUGCAAGGUGUUGAUUCAGCAAGGCUAACAACAACAAAAAGACAAGAAACUACGGAGGAGCUUGUAACUGCCUGUUUCUGUACAACCCAAAUGUCCAUCAAGAGAUGAAUGCAUAAAGGAAGAGAUAUAUAUUUAUACAAUGGCAUACUACUCAGCAGUAAAAAAAAAAAAUGAAUUACUGGUAUGUGUAAUAACAUGGACUAACUCUAUAUACAUUAUGCUAAGCAAAAGAAGCCAUGUAAAUGACUCCAUUUGACAUUCUAGAACAGGCAAAAUUAAUCUUGGGCACUAUUUAUU
rnacentral:lncRNA from 1 species